GGGAGCUGGUUCGCGCUGUCUUGUUGCACUGCACCGCCGCCGACGACGAACGACUGCCUGAUUUUAUGGUUCAAAGGGCUAAUCUUUAUUGCUUUUGCAUUGCUACUCUGAGUCGCCGUAUACUCUACAGGCGCUUGUUUACUUUCCACUUACAUCCUGUCGUUAUUUUUUCGGUCUUUGUUUCCGCGCGGUGUUAUUAACUGGGCAAUCAACUGUCAUUGAGUUUAAAAUUAUAAUUAUUGUGUUUUCCGAAACGCUCACAUCAACGUGGAAGCUCUAAUUCGUUGCAAGUAAAAAAAACUGUGUUACACUUUCUUCGCGACGUAAACGGCAGAGGCAUCUCGAGCACGUACGCGCACGCAUGGAAUUUCCUAUUGCUCACACCUACGGGUAAUGAGUAUGCGCGUGCGGGCGUCGCGCUAUGCAUCAGAUCGAGGUGAGACGUCGCGGAAGCAAGACAUCAGUUACAUACAUAUAUUUCUUUCCAAGAAGUAACGUUGGCGGCAUUGAUUGCUAACUGUUCUGUAUAUCUGAAAAUAUUCAAGUCGUAUUGGUGAGUACUCGAAACCAAACGACUCUGUAAUCAACAAACAGCUCUAAAGCAUAUCAAGCUACUGACUUGCGGGAAUAAUCUAAACCCAAAAUGAAACUGCUGUGCUUCAUUUUGCUGCUCGUUAUCGUGGUAACAAUGCAGACGGCGUAUGGCAAGCCAUGCAAUAACUUUCAGAGGAUCCUCUGCGAUUUUAAAUGCAUUCUGAGUAACAACGUUUGCAUAGGAGGUGAUGGAAUUUUUAAUUACACGUGCAACUGUAAAAUACCAGAGUAAAUGCCUCUGUGCAUUAUGAAUAGCGACAUAAGUAAGCGUGCACUUUUUGUACGCGUGGUUGAAUUGUCAGCAUCUUUUUAUUUGUCAUUGUAUUAUUUAUAAUCACAGCAAUAAACAAAACCAUCGACCCAUGUAA